UGCUAGAGACGAUGGAAGGUCAAGGGAG
rnacentral:piRNA from 1 species